GAGUUAUGGCUCAGGAUGAACGCUAGCGACAGGCUUAACACAUGCAAGUCGAGGGGCAGCAUAGAAGUAGCAAUACUCGGUGGCGACCGGCGCACGGGUGAGUAACGCGUAUGCAACCUACCUAUCAGAGGGGAAUAACCCGGCGAAAGUCGGACUAAUACCGCAUAAAACAGGGGCACCGCAUGGUGAUAUUUGUUAAAGAAAUUCGCUGAUAGAUGGGCAUGCGUUCCAUUAGGUAGUUGGUGAGGUAACGGCUCACCAAGCCGACGAUGGAUAGGGGAACUGAGAGGUUGGUCCCCCACACUGGUACUGAGACACGGACCAGACUCCUACGGGAGGCAGCAGUGAGGAAUAUUGGUCAAUGGGCGGGAGCCUGAACCAGCCAAGUCGCGUGAAGGAAGAAGGAUCUAUGGUUCGUAAACUUCUUUUGCAGGGGAAUAAAGUGCAGGACGUGUCCUGUUUUGUAUGUACCCUGAGAAUAAGGAUCGGCUAACUCCGUGCCAGCCGCCGC
rnacentral:rRNA from 1 species